AUUGAACGCUGGCGGCAGGCCUAACACAUGCAAGUCGAGCGAGCGGAGGACGGGUGAGUAAUGUAUGGGGACUGCCCGAAAGAUGGGGUUAACUACUGGAACCGGUGGCUAAAACCGCAUACCAUCGGAUAACCAAUUUGGGAGUCGCUAGUAGGGGGGGUAAAGGCUCACCUAGUCGACGAUCUCUAGCUGGUCUGAGAGGACGAUCGGCCCAAAUGGGACUGAGACACGGCCCAGACUCCUACGGAGGCAGCAGUUGGGAAUAUUGCACAAUGGGCGCAAGCCUGAUGCAGCCAUUCCGCUUGUAUGAAGAAGGCCUUAGGGUUGUAAAGUACUUUCAGCGGGGAGGCGUUACCCGCAGAAGAAGCCCCGGCUAACUCCGUGCCAGCAGCCGCGGUAAUUC
rnacentral:rRNA from 1 species